AUGAACCGGUUCCGUCGUACGCUUAAUCGAUCAAGCCUGCACGAAAUUCUGCUAAUUGGCCGCAAAUACACAUGGAGUAAUGAGCAGCAAGUGCCGACGCUAGUUCGCCUGGACAGAGCUUUUUGUAACGUAGACUGGGAGCUUCUUUUCCCAGCUGCAAAAUUGCUACCGCAAGCCUCAACUAUUUCAGAUCAUUGCCCCUUGAUGCUUGUUAAUGACGACAUCCUUUCCAUCAACCGUCGGUUCCGUUUCGAGAGCUACUGGCAGUUCAUUGCCGGCUUCAACAAGGUGGUGCAACAAGCUUGGAUGGAGGGCACAGGCAGCAGAUGCCCAAUCGCUCGCCUGAAUGCCAAGCUUUGGUGCACAAGCAAAGCGCUUAGGAACUGGAGCAGGGUGCAUGUGGGCGACUUGCAACGGCAACUUGGGAUUGCCACGGAGUUGAUCUUUCAACUAGAAACUGCUCAGGAGUCCCGCCAACUCACUGAAGAUGAGCGCGAGCUGCGUACCAAACUUAAGUCUAGGACAUUGGGGUUGGCUGUGCUACUUAAGAUCAAGAGAAGGCAACGCAGCAGGGUCUUAUGGCUUAAGGACGGGGAUGCCAACACAAAAUUCUUUCAUCGAAAAGCCAAUGCUCGGCACAAGAGGAACACAAUCCAUGUCUUGCAUGGGGCGCAAGGGCCUGUUACCUCGCCUGAUGCAAUGACACAGUUGGCACAUUCGUAUUUCACGGAGAUUUUUGGACAAAUGCAGACUCCCACUGCCGCCUUUGACUGGGACGAGCUUGAGCUUGAACAGGUGGACCUGCAUGACAUUGACGUGGAGUUUAGCAUGGAAGAAACUGAUAGUUGGGUGGCCACCAACAACAUCAAGGAAUGGAUGACAUCUUGCUGGAGUAAAGCCGCAUCUGAUAAGAGAAAAGGAGUUAUAUCUUUGAUCCAUCUAGUCUCCUGGGAGAUAUGGCGUGAGCGCAACCGACGGAUUUUCCAGGACUUACGGAUGGACAUGCGCACCUUCGUGCAGCGGCUGAAGGACGAAAUCACUAUGUGGAACAUGGCAGGAGCUGGAAUUCCUUUUGACCCGGAUCAACUACCAACAUUCAAAAAAAAAAGCCAGCAGAAGAUCUUGAUUUCUAGGGGGCGUAGGAGUACCAGAUCGAGAAUAAUGACUGGACUACAUUGCGGGCCGCCCUGCCACUCGUGCUCCCGGAUUAUCCGGACACAGUUUCAUGGCGGCGCACGCCGACAGCGGAGUUCUCCGUGGGCACGGCAUAUCAGGCCCUUUGCCCGCCGGCAACUAGCCCCUGGCUUGCCCCUCUAUGGAAAGCCCCCGUCCCAUUAA
rnacentral:rRNA from 1 species